CGUGGUGCCAGCAGCCGCGGUAAUUCCAGCUCCAAUAGCGUAUAUUAAGUUGUUGACAGUUAAAAGCUCGUAGUUGAAUUUCGGGAUUAGUACGCUGGUCGUGCCUUCGGUACGUACUGGUGUUACUGAUUUCUACCUUCUGACGAACCAUCAUGUCAUUAAUUUGGUGUGGUGGAAAUCAGGACUGUUACUUUGAAAAAAUUAGAGUGUUUAAAGCAGGCACACGCUUGAAUACAUUAGCAUGGAAUAAUGAAAUAGGACGUUUGACCCUAUUUUGUUGGUUUCUAGGAUUGACGUAAUGAUUAAUAGGGAUAGUUUGGGGGCAUUAGUAUUCAAUUGUCAGAGGUGAAAUUCUUGGAUUUAUUGAAGACUAACUACUGCGAAAGCAUUUGCCAAGGAUGUUUUCAUUAAUCAAGAACGAAAGUUAGGGGGAUCGAAGACGAUCAGAUACCGUCGUAGUCUUAACCAUAAACUAUGCCGACUAGGGAUCGGAUGAUGCUAAUUUUUUAAUGACUCAUUCGGCGCCUUACG
rnacentral:rRNA from 1 species